UCUUCCUUGGUCUAGUGGUCAUGAUUUCCGCUUGUCAACCCAAUAAUGGGAACGAGCGCGGGAGACCGGGGUUCGAUUCCCCGAGGGAGAG